rnacentral:rRNA from 1 species
AGAGAGAGACAUGCGCGCAUAUCAAUAAGCGGAGGAAAAGAAACUAACAAGGAUUCCCCUAGUAACGGCGAGUGAAGCGGGAAGAGCUCAAAUUUGAAAUCUUAAAGGGUUUCCCUUUACGAAUUGUAGUUUAAAGAAGUGUUUUCUGUUGAGGUUUUGGUAAAAGUUCUUUGGAAUAGGACAUCAUAGAGGGUGAGAAUCCCGUAUUUGACCUUUACUUUCAACUUUGUGAUACGCUUUCAAAGAGUCGGAUUGUUUGGGAAUGCAGUCCAAAAUGGGUGGUAAAUUUCAUCUAAAGCUAAAUAUUGGCGAGAGACCGAUAGCGAACAAGUACCGUGAGGGAAAGAUGAAAAGAACUUUGAAAAGAGAGUUAAACAGUACGUGAAAUUGUCAAAAGGGAAGCGUUUGACACCAGUGUUGUUUUUCUGAAUAUCAAUUAAAGAACUGUUUAUGCUAAGUUGUUUAGACUUUAUCAGCUAACUGUUUAGUUUUGAGCUUUUCUUUAAUGCACUUUUCAGUUAACAAGUCAACAUCAAUUUCUUUUGCUGUAAAAAAGCUUGAGGAAGGUGGCUUGAGAUUCGUCUUAAGUGUUUAUAGCCUCUUGCCUAUGCAGUCGGAGAGAUUGAGGUCUGCAGCGUAGAUCCUUCGGGGCUAAAUGCAUUUGUGCUAAGUUAUAGCAUUUUAUAGACAACUUGUUGACUAUGAUUUGUCUUGUAGCUUACUCGCUUAUGUUAUUUUACCUACGCUUAGGAUGUUGAGCGCAUGUCUCUCUCU